UGUCCCCAAGGUUGAAAGGCUGGUAGUGUUACAGAUGCAUCUUCCUUCUCCCCAACUCUUUUUUUAAGUAACGAUACAUGAAAGACAGGAUGAAUCUGGGCUAUAGAGGGUAAUUCCAGUUUGUAAGCCACCUUCCACAAUCUCUGGAUUACUUUGUAAGGUCCAUAGUACUUCGCAGAAAGUUUCUUGUUGGAUCUCCUGGCUACAGUUUGUUGAGCAUAAGGGUAUAGUUUCAGGUAUACCCAAUUUCCUAUUUGAAAUUCCCUUUCACUCCUGUUCUUAUCUGCGUAAGACUUCAUCUUAGCACUGGCCUGAGCUACAUAUUCCUUCAGAAUUCUAUCCGUCUCAUAUCUUUCUUGUAGUACCUCUUCCACCGAAGUAUUGGAAAUCUGUUGGUAAGGCCCAAGGGCUAGCUGAGGCGGUUUGAUACCAUAUAAGGCUUCAAAUGGUGUCAUUUUAAUGGUGGUAUGCAGGAUGGUGUUAUACCACCAUUCAGCAAGGCUGAGCCAUUUACUCCACUGUCUAGGCUGCUUGUAUACCAUGCAUCUCAAAUACAUUUGGAGGCACUGAUUUACCCUUUCGGUCUGUCCAUUGGUCUGCGGGUAUUUAAACAAUUCUUGCCAGAAUUCACUUGUGAACACUUUAUCCCUAUCAGUAACAAUACUUUGGGGUAACCCACACAACUUAUGGAUGUUAUCCAUGAAUAAUUUGGCAACAGCUGGGACUGAGAAUGGGUGGGAUAACGAUAGGAAAUGUGCAUACUUAGUGAAUCUGUUUACUACAACAAAGAUCACAUUCUUACUCCCGGAGGUAGGUAGACCUUCAAUAAAGUCCAUGGAAAUGUGACUCCAAGCAUACUAUGGAGUUGGUAGCGGUUGCAAUAAUCUUGGGUAGGCUACAUGCUCACCUUUGCAUUUUUGGCAGGUGUUACAUUCCAACACCUCCUUUUUGAUGUCCUUGUUCAUCCCCGGCCAAAAAAAAAUGUUUCUUGGCCCUAUGGAUACUAGCUUGUACUCCAGAGUGACCCCCUUCCUGUGAGGAAUGUAAAGUAGCUAUCAGCUUCUUCCUGAUGUCACCACUUGAGCCGAUGUAAUUUUUGGUUUUAUACUUAAGUAGCCCAUUCAAGUAGUAGUAGUUCGGUUCAGAUUCGUUAUUAAGCAACAAAGCUGUAAUUUUAGUCUCAGCCUCCCUAUCUCUUUGAUAGCUUGUCAUCACUUCCCUCAUCCACAAUGGCUUGACUUUGGUAAUUGCCAAGCUCUCUGAAUUUUUCCCCCUCAUCUAGAUAGAGCAUCUGCCACCAGAUUUUCCAGUCCCUGUUUGUAUUGUAUUUCAUAGCUGAGCCCCAAUAAUUUUGACAACCAUUUCUAUUGUAGUGGGGUAGUGAUUCUUUGCUCCAGCAAAUAUUUGAGUGAUUGGUGGUCUGUUUUAAUUAUGAAGUGGUGGCCUUCCAGGUAGUGUCUCCACUUACUUACUGCAGUGACCAAGGCCAGUUGCUCUUUUUCAUAUAUGGACAGGCCCAACUUCUUACUAUCUAUGCCUUUACUCAAAUAUGCUAAGGGCCUCUUAUUUUGCAUUAGGACUUCCCCAAUCCCUCCAUAACAUGCAUCAGUUUCGAUUAUAAAAGGUACGGAGAAGUUUGGUAAUGCUAACACGGGAGUGGUACUCAUAGGCCUUUUUAAUUUCUGAAAGCUACAUCAGCAUCCUCACUCCAAACAAAGUUGUCUUUCUUCAGUAAUUCAAUAAGGGGUUUGGCCAUAGCCCCAUAUCCUUUUACAAACCUCCUGUAGUAACCAAUUAGGCCUAGAAAUCCCCUUAACUGCUUGAUGUUAGUUGGUAUAGGCCACUCCUGCAUUGCUACAAUUUUUGAAGAGUCCGCUACUACUCCUUCUGCAGAAAUGAUGUGACCUAAGUACUUUAUUUUAGACUGCCCAAAGGAGCAUUUACUCUCUUUAGCAAAAAGGUGAUGUGUUUGAGGAGCUCCAGUACCAGCUUGACAUGCUCACAAUGAGAUUUUAAGUCCUGGCUAUAAACGAGUAUGUCAUCAAAGAAUUCCAAAACAAAUUUCCUGAGGUGCUGCUUGAAUACUUCAUUCAUUAAGCAUUGAAAGGUUGCAGGAGCAUUGGUAAGCCCAAAUGGCAUUACCCUAAAUUCAUACAAGCCUUCAUGUGUUUUGAAGGCUGAUUUAUGGGUAUCCUCU
rnacentral:lncRNA from 1 species